rnacentral:misc_RNA from 1 species
AUGGAGUGCUGGUGUCCUACUACAUGCUCUCUUGGUUGGUGUUCUUCCAUUUCAAGGCGACUCCUUAGAAGCUGUUUUUGAGGGCAUCAAGAAUGUGAAACUUGAUUUCCACACAGGAAUAUGGGAGUCCNAGCCUGCCCGUGAUUUAGUUUCAAGAAUGCUAACAAGGGAUGUUUCAGCAAGGAUAACCGCAGAUGAAGUGCUAAGGCACCCAUGGAUAAUUUUCUACACAGAGCGCAUGUUAAAGAC